GCCGUUGUAGCUCAGUCGGUAGAGCAAAGGACUGAAAAUCCUUGUGUCGAGGGUUCGAUUCCCUCUGACGGCA
rnacentral:tRNA from 1 species